UCAGCUGUAGCUCAGUGGUAGAACGUCCCACCGGUAUGCGUAAGGUCAUAGGUUCGACUUCUGUUGGCGGAA